CCAGGUUUUACACAAGACCCCAAGGAAGCCAACAUAACAAGGAAAAUUAGAGAUUCUCUUUCAUUGGGAUUCCAGUCUACUAAGGUGACAGGCAUCGAACAAUUGACUGUGGCUUCCAUCUGAGUGGAUAUGUAAUCUGUCUAAAGAGACUAGAAAGAAGAUUAACCAACCUCUUCACCACAUACUAAGGUCCUUCUCCCUCCCAUCUUUGGAUGGAUGAACUUAUGGAAGCAUGAAAAGUAUCUAUUAAACAAUGUCUCAGAGGAAUUAAUCAAAAGUUUUACAGAAAGUUGUGCAGCCUCUGAAAGGUCAUUCACCGAGUUAAAUAUGUUUUGGGCACCCCCUUGGACGCUAAGCACUGUGAGAAGUGGAGGGUGAAACGGAACGCACAGCUCCUUCCUUCCCUCAAGGAUCUCUAGCGUGUGAAUGGAAAGGGUUGGCUGUAAAACUUGAGAGCUUGGAAAUGCAGUAUCCUGUGGCUGCUGAAUCACGGACCAUUCCUCUGUGAAACCCUAACACAGAUACUUACCCCUCAGAAUUAUUUUGAAGACUGAAUGGUAUAGCAUGUGCAAAGUUCAUACCACUGGCCUGGAAUAGAAAGUUGCAGCCAGAGCAAAGCCCUGGGAUGACAGGAAGAAAAUGAAGUUACAUUUUUCACACCUUCUGAUUAACUUUCAAUGCCUCCCAAGCCCCAACAACUGGAAACGAAGAAUUUCGUGUUGAGCU